GAUUUAUUUCAAAUGUAUUGCACACCAGGGAAAAACCGUCUUGUGCCCAGGCAAGUCUGAACUUGACGUGUUUGUGUUGCUUUGAGCGUGCGAUCAUACGAUUCAUCUUAACCAACUAGCUCGGCUGGUAUUAGUCACGUGAAUAAGGACCAAUUAGCGUUGUAUCCGCAUAGCUUAUAGAGAAAGAUUUUCCCAGGUAAGAACACCUGCUGUGGAGUUGUGUGACGCAGCUGAAAUUUGACUUGCAAAAAGAAGUUUCCGUCGGUGAACGAACGCCAGAGAGCCCCAGACAUCAUGCCGGACCCCAACGAAAAAGAUAAGGAUAAGGACAAGGACAAGGAUUCCAGCAAGGGCAACGACCCACCGCCGCCGCCUCCCGGCACGAGGAACCCCCAGUAGUGCGGCUCCUGCACCAACCAUCGUUCCAUUGGCAUAGGACUUCACCUGAGUUCGCUGUUAACACUAACUCAAAGAAUUCGAAAUUUGACUCACCGGAAUUUUCAACCGAAUCAGUCGAUCUGCAUCGUACCCAUGUUCACUUCAGCACUGCUUUGAAAUUUGAACGCGAACGUCAGUCUCAUCAGAGCCUAUGCACACAAAAGCUAGAACUGAGCUAAACAGCUUUUGCAACAUAUAUUCACUUAGGAUGGUAAAUUUCCAGUUGCCUUGUGCAAGCUUAUGUCGUGUAAAAUCUGUCAAAUGAUAUUCCAUGCAAUCUGUGAUAACUGGUGUCAUCUAUCGCAAGUGGCCUGCUACAGUGACUGUGGUUAUGAUGAUGGACGGUUUGCUAAAGUAGAAGGAAUGAAUAGCAAGCUAACUUGUCACAGACCUACCUGGUGUUGUCAGCACAAUUAGAACUACCAGUGUCUGAGAGCAAACCAAAUACUAGUACGUCAUCGAGGAUCAGAUCACAUUGCAGUGUAAUAGAAGGUACUAAUAUUAUUUGUCAGUUUUUCAUACCAUCGCUGCUAUUACUGAUUACACAACAUCAACCACGUAGAAACACACAGCAUGUACAUAGAGUAUCAACACCUCAUGCCGACAGCCGGCCACCAGGAGAAAAUGCACGUGAAAGCAGAAUCAACAUGAUGCUGGAAUAAAGACAUGAGCUUACUUUAGA